AGUGAACGCUGGCGGUAGGCCUAACACAUGCAAGUCGAACGGCAGCACAGUAAGAGCUUGCUCUUACGGGUGGCGAGUGGCGGACGGGUGAGGAAUACAUCGGAAUCUACUUUUUCGUGGGGGAUAACGUAGGGAAACUUACGCUAAUACCGCAUACGACCUACGGGUGAAAGCAGGGGAGCUUCGGACCUUGCGCGAUUGAAUGAGACGAUGUCGGAUUAGCUAGUUGGCGGGGUAAAGGCCCACCAAGGCGACGAUCCGUAGCUGGUCUGAGAGGAUGAUCAGCCACACUGGAACUGAGACACGGUCCAGACUCCUACGGGAGGCAGCAGUGGGGAAUAUUGGACAAUGGGCGCAAGCCUGAUCCAGCCAUACCGCGUGGGUGAAGAAGGCCUUCGGGUUGUAAAGCCCUUUUGUUGGGAAAGAAAAGCAGCAGGUUAAUACCCCGCUGUUCUGACGGUACCCAAAGAAUAAGCACCGGCUAACUUCGUG
rnacentral:rRNA from 1 species